rnacentral:lncRNA from 1 species
AAUUCAUUUCAACACUUGUCUUCAUUUGAAUUCGACUUCACUAACAACAAUAGGGCUUUGUUGGAGCCUUUGUUGGAGUCCAAGGGCAGGUGGUUGAAGAAUGCCUUGCUUGGCUAAACAAGGAUUUUUCUAGCUGAAGUAUAUGUUCAUUAAAAGUAGUUAAACCUACACCCCGGUUUGUCAUUAUACAAGGAACAAACAUAACAGUUGCAAAGUAGCUGAAAAGCAUAGGUUCUUCACAGGUGAGAAAGGAUGGACAUUAAAGGACACACAAAUAAAACAUGUGGUUUCACAGAUGUUAUGGCAAUAGUGACCUUGGAUGGAAUCUAAAGCAUGGAAGGGAUCAUUUGAUCAGUGUGAGCUUCACCCCCUCUAACCGG